AACGAACGCUGGCGGCAGGCCUAACACAUGCAAGUCGAGCGGACCCUUCGGGGUUAGCGGCGGACGGGUUAGUAACGCGUGGGAACGUGCCCAAAGGUACGGAAUAGCCUCGGGAAACUGAGAGUAAUACCGUAUGUGCCCCUCGGGGGAAAGAUUUAUCGCCUUUGGAUCGGCCCGCGUUGGAUUAGGUAGUUGGUGGGGUAAUGGCCUACCAAGCCGACGAUCCAUAGCUGGUUUGAGAGGAUGAUCAGCAACACUGGGACUGAGACACGGCCCAGACUCCUACGGGAGGCAGCAGUGGGGAAUCUUAGACAAUGGGGGAAACCCUGAUCUAGCCAUGCCGCGUGGACGAUGAAGGCCUUAGGGUUGUAAAGUCCUUUCAGCUGGGGAAGAUAAUGACGGUACCAGCAGAAGAAGCCCCGGCUAACUCCGUG
rnacentral:rRNA from 1 species